UGUUUUUAUGGCAUACCAUUCGGACGUACCGUGGAAUUCGAAACGUAUUCGAGAAAAAAAAGCAUCGCGUGAGAAAUUUAUGCAAGGGAAUGUAAAGAAAAUUAAGUAUAACAAUAAAUAGGUAUACAGAAGCCAAUAAUGACCAAUCGCUGCAGCGUGAAACGGUCAUUGAGAUUGGCGAUUUUAACGACUAUUCGUUUUUAGCGUGUAAUAAACCGAUAGACGCCGACGCGCACGUGAUUCACAUUUCGGCUAUUAUACAGGGUGUUUUUCAGGAUUAAACAAUUCAUAUCCUAUGUAUAAAUAUCAAAUCCUGCAGAUACACCCUGUAUACUUACUUUCGCACGUCAAUCUAUGAGACGCAAUACACAUCCUUAAAUUGUUUCGAAAAUCGCGGAUUGACUAAUAUAAAUUCCAAUACGACAUCGUGUUGUACUUUCUGAGAAUUCGCACCUUACCAUACAGUGUCCACCCAAUAACAUGUAUUAUUAUAGUAGUAUACCAACUACGUAAUAAUAAUAUAAGAGGUGUGUUCGGCGAUUCGUAAUAACAUCACAGCCGUGUAAUUUAGGUUGGGUUAAUAUGAGAACGGUUUACGAACGAUUACUUCGAGACGUCAUGCGUGGACUUAUUUGACGUUCGCUUUUUGUGUGUUUUUUUUUUCAUACAAAAUUUCUAGGGAAUAUAACAGUCAGAGGACAAAAAAUCCCAAUACCGUUCUUUAGAAUUUGAACGUUGCGAAAAGACUGCAUUGUCUGUAUUGGUGGUU